GACGAACCGUGCGAACGUUAUUCGGAAUUACUGGGCGUAAAGCGUGUGUAGGCGGCUAGGUAAGUCGGAUGUGAAAGUCCAGGGCUCAACCCUGGAAUGCCGGUGGAUACUGUCGGGCUAGAGUCCGGAAGGGGCGAGUGGAAUUCCUGGUGUAGCGGUGAAAUGCGCAGAUAUCAGGAGGAACACCAAUGGCGAAGGCAGCUCGCUGGGACGUGACUGACGCUGAGACGCGAAAGCGUGGGGAGCAAACAGG
rnacentral:rRNA from 1 species